rnacentral:rRNA from 1 species
UGCAGUCGAGCGGUAACAGGAAUAGCUUGCUAUUCGCUGACGAGCGGCGGACGGGUGAGUAACGCGUAGGAAUCUGCCCGGUAGUGGGGGAUAGCCCGGAGAAAUCCGGAUUAAUACCGCAUACGCCCUAAGGGGGAAAGCAGGGGAUCUUCGGACCUUGCGCUAUCGGAUGAGCCUGCGUCGGAUUAGCUUGUUGGUGGGGUAAUGGCCUACCAAGGCAACGAUCCGUAGCUGGUCUGAGAGGAUGAUCAGCCACACCGGAACUGAGACACGGUCCGGACUCCUACGGGAGGCAGCAGUGGGGAAUAUUGCACAAUGGGCGCAAGCCUGAUGCAGCCAUGCCGCGUGUGUGAAGAAGGCCUUCGGGUUGUAAAGCACUUUCAGUCGUGAGGAAAGGUGUGUAGCUAAUACCUGCAUGCUGUGACGUUAGCGACAGAAGAAGCACCGGCUAAUUCCGUGCCAGCAGCCGCGGUAAUACGGAAGGUGCGAGCGUUAAUCGGAAUUACUGGGCGUAAAGCGCGCGUAGGUGGUUCAGUCAGUCAGAUGUGAAAGCCCCGGGCUCAACCUGGGAACUGCACCUGAUACUGCUGGACUUGAGUACGGUAGAGGGUAGUGGAAUUUCCUGUGUAGCGGUGAAAUGCGUAGAUAUAGGAAGGAAUACCGGUGGCGAAGGCGGCCCCCUGGACAAAGACUGACGCUCAGAUGCGAAAGCGUGGGGAGCAAACAGGAUUAGAUACCCUGGUAGUCCACGCCGUAAACGAUGUCUACUUGGAGGUUGUGGCCUUGAGCCGUGGCUUUCGGAGCUAACGCGUUAAGUAGACCGCCUGGGGAGUACGGUCGCAAGAUUAAAACUCAAAUGAAUUGACGGGGGCCCGCACAAGCGGUGGAGCAUGUGGUUUAAUUCGAUGC